AGUCAUAUGCUUGUCUCAAAGAUUAAGCCAUGCAUGUCUAAGUACAAGCCUCACUAAGGUGAAACCGCGAAUGGCUCAUUAAAUCACACCUAAUAUACUGGAUAGUCUCAGUUACUUGGAUAACUGCGGUAAUUCUGGAGCUAAUACAUGCGUUCAAGCCCCGAACUUACGUGAGGGGCGCUUUUAUUAGAUCAAAACCAAACGACUUCGGUCGUCCCCCUGGUGACUCUGAAUAACUUUUUGCCGAUCGCACGGCUUCACGCCGGCGACGUAUCUUUCUAAGGUGUGCCCUAUCAACUGUCGACUGUGGUAUAGACGCCCACAGUGGUUUUGACGGGUAACGGGGAAUCAGGGUUCGAUUCCGGAGAGGGAGCCUGAGAAACGGCUACCACUUCUAAGGAAGGCAGCAGGCACGCAAAUUACCCACUGGUCGAAGACCGAGGUAGUGACGAAAAAUAACGAUACCGGACUCAUCCGAGGCCCGGUAAUCGGAAUGAGUACACUUUAAAUCCUUUAACGAGGAACAAUUGGAGGGCAAGUCUGGUGCCAGCAGCCGCGGUAAUUCCAGCUCCAAUAGCGUAUAUUAAAGUUGUUGCGGUUAAAAAGCUCGUAGUUGGAUCUCGGCGGGUAGGGGGCGGUUCGUUAUUCGACGCUACUGCCCCAUUUACCCGUGAUUUUGACGGAGGUUCCAGGUGCUCUUAACCGAGUGUCCUGGGAUGCCGUCAGGUUACUUUGAAAAAUUAGAGUGCUCAAGCAGGCUUUACACGCUUGAAUAUUCGUGCAUGGAAUAAUAGAUAGGACGUCGUUUCUAUUUUGUGGUUUUCGGAAAUCGACGUAAUGAUUUAA
rnacentral:rRNA from 1 species